AUUGAACGCUGGCGGCAGGCUUAACACAUGCAAGUCGAACGGUAACAGGCCUUCGGGUGCUGACGAGUGGCGAACGGGUGAGUAAUGCAUCGGAACGUGCCCAAUCGUGGGGGAUAACGUAGCGAAAGUUACGCUAAUACCGCAUAAGCCCUGAGGGGGAAAGCAGGGGAUCGCAAGACCUUGCGCGAAUGGAGCGGCCGAUGUCAGAUUAGCUAGUUGGUAGGGUAAUGGCCUACCAAGGCUACGAUGGAUAGCUGGUCUGAGAGGACGAUCAGCCACACUGGAACUGAAACACGGUCCAGACUCCUACGGGAGGCAGCAGUAAGGAAUAUUGGACAAUGCCCGCAAGGGUGAUCCAGCCAUGCCGCGUGCAGGAAGAAGGCCCUAUGGGUCGUAAACUGCUUUUACACCGGAGAAAACCUUCCCUACGUGAGGGGAGCUGAUAGUAUGGUGAGAAUAAGCAUCGGCUAACUUCGUGCCAGCAGCCGACGG
rnacentral:rRNA from 1 species